rnacentral:rRNA from 1 species
AUUGAACGCUGGCGGCAGGCCUAACACAUGCAAGUCGAACGAGUGGCGGACGGGUGAGUAAUGUCUGGGAAACUGCCUGAUGGAGGGGGAUAACUACUGGAAACGGUAGCUAAUACCGCAUACCAUCGGAUGUGCCCAGAUGGGAUUAGCUAGUAGGUGGGGUAAAGGCUCACCUAGGCGACGAUCCCUAGCUGGUAUGAGAGGAUGACCAGCCCCAAUGGAUCUGUGACACGGUCCCGACGCCUACGAGAGGCAGACGUGGGGAAUAUUGACCUAUGGGCGCAAGCCUGAUGCAGCCAUGCCGCGUGAAUGAAUAAGGCCUUCGGGUUGUAAAGUACUUACAGCGGGGAGGCGUUACCCGCAGAAGAAGCACCGGCUAACUCCGUGCCAGCAGCCGCGGUAAUAC